rnacentral:rRNA from 1 species
AUUGAACGCUGGCGGCAGGCCUAACACAUGCAAGUCGAGCGGAUGAAGGGAGCUUGCUCCUGGAUUCAGCGGCGGACGGGUGAGUAAUGCCUAGGAAUCUGCCUGGUAGUGGGGGAUAACGUCCGGAAACGGGCGCUAAUACCGCAUACGUCCUGAGGGAGAAAGUGGGGAAUCUUCGGACCUCACGCUAUCAGAUGAGCCUAGGUCGGAUUAGCUAGUUGGUGGGGUAAAGGCCUACCAAGGCGACGAUCCGUAACUGGUCUGAGAGGAUGAUCAGUCACACUGGAACUGAGACACGGUCCAGACUCCUACGGGAGGCAGCAGUGGGGAAUAUUGGACAAAGGGCGAAAGCCUGAUCCAGCCAUGCCGCGUGUGUGAAGAAGGUCUUCGGAUUGUAAAGCACUUUAAGUUGGGAGAAAGGGCAGUAAGUUAAUACCUUGCUGUUUUGACGUUACCAACAGAAUAAGCACCGGCUAACUUCGUG